rnacentral:rRNA from 1 species
UGGGCCUUUCCUGACGCUGAGGAGCGAAAGCGUGGGGAGCGAACAGGCUUAGAUACCCUGGUAGUCCACGCUGUAAACGGUGGGUACUAGGUGUGGGGUCCAUUCCACGGGUUCCGUGCCGUAGCUAACGCUUUAAGUACCCCGCCUGGGGAGUACGGCCGCAAGGCUAAAACUCAAAGGAAUUGACGGGGCCCCGCACAAGCGGCGGAGCAUGCGGAUUAAUUCGAUGCAACGCGUAGAACCUUACCUGGGUUUGACAUGGAUCGGGAGUGCUCAGAGAUGGGUGUGCCUCUUUUGGGGUCGGUUCACAGGUGGUGCAUGGCUGUCGUCAGCUCGUGUCGUGAGAUGUUGGGUUAAGUCCCGCAACGAGCGCAACCCUUGUUCACUGUUGCCAGCACGUUAUGGUGGGGACUCAGUGGAGACCGCCGGGGUCAACUCGGAGGAAGGUGGGGAUGACGUCAAGUCAUCAUGCCCCUUAUGUCCAGGGCUUCACGCAUGCUACAAUGGCUGGUACAGAGAGUGGCGAGCCUGUGAGGGUGAGCGAAUCUCGGAAAGCCGGUCUCAGUUCGGAUUGGGGUCUGCAACUCGACCUCAUGAAGUCGGAGUCGCUAGUAAUCGCAGAUCAGCAACGCUGCGGUGAAUACGUUCCCGGGGCUUGUACACACCGCCCGUCAAGUCAUGAAAGUUGGUAACACCCGAAGCCGGUGGCCUAACCGUUGUGGGGGAGCCGUCGAAGGUGGGACUGGU